UACGUAGGUGGCAAGCGUUGUCCGGAUUUACUGGGCGUAAAGAGCGCGCAGGCGGUCGUUCAAGUCGCGUGUGAAAGCCCCCGGCUCAACUGGGGAGGGUCACGCGAUACUGAUCGACUCGAAGGCAGGAGAGGGUAGUGGAAUUCCCGGUGUAGUGGUGAAAUGCGUAGAUAUCGGGAGGAACACCAGUGGCGAAGGCGGCUCUCUGGACCGGUUCUGACGCUCAGGCGCGAAAGCGUGGGGAGCGAUCCGG
rnacentral:rRNA from 1 species